UACGGUGGGGGCAAGCUUUGUUCGGAAUUACUGGGCGUAAAGGGCUCGUAGGCGGCCAACUAAGUCAGACGUGAAAUCCCUCGGCUUAACCGGGGAACUGCAUCUGAUACUGGAUGGCUUGAGUUCGGGAGAGGGAUGCGGAAUUCCAGGUGUAGCGGUGAAAUGCGUAGAUAUCUGGAGGAACACCGGUGGCGAAGGCGGCAUCCUGGACCGGCACUGACGCUGAGGAGCGAAAGCCAGGGGAGCAAACGGG
rnacentral:rRNA from 1 species